rnacentral:rRNA from 1 species
AUGAACAGCCUCUUCUGGAAUUAUAGAGGAGCAGGUAAAAGAGGGAGAGCUAUCUGCUUCUCUGACAUCAUUAGAGACCACUCCCCCAACUUUAUAGGCAUCCUAGAAACGAAGAAGGAGAAGUUUACACCCAAGUAUCUAAGGAAAGUUGACCCCUUUGAGAGAUUUACUUGGAAUUGGACUCCUUCCGUUGGUAAAUCCGGUGGUAUCCUUUGUGGCAUCAGAAAAGAAACCUUGGAUGUUGUGUCUUGGGUGGUAGGUAAGUACCUACCACAGGCUACCAUCUGUGAUGCUAAACUCAAAUGUAUUUGGACCCUGGUGGUAGUCUAUGGAGCAGCACAUGAUGAGAAGAGGGACGAAUUCCUUGAUGAAAUAACCUCUUGCUGUGGCAACAUCAAAACUCCUUAUGUGAUUGGUGGGGACUUCAAUAUCCUUCGGGGCAGUAGUGAUAAAAACAAGCCCCUACAUAGAUCGCAGCACAUGGAUAGAUUUAACAAUAUCAUCCACUCACUGAACCUUAGAGACAUUCAUAUGGGGGGAGGCAGGUUCACUUGGACCAAUAAAGAGAGACACCCAAUGCUCGAGAAGCUCGACAGAGUUCUCAUGAGCCCUGAUUGCGAAGAUCUUUUCCCUCUUUUUGCUGUUCGUAAGUUAGUGAGAGAUGUUUCAGACCACAACCCUUUGUUGUUGACAAUAAACCCCGUGAAAAAUAGUCCCAUGCACCAGCGUGAGUUCAGAUUUGAACUUAGCUGGUUGAAGAAUGAAGAUUUCUAUGCUAAAGCUAAGAUGAUCUGGGAGCAACCUGUGGAGUCUGAGGAUCCCAUAGACAUCCUGAAUAUUAAGCUUAAGCGUAUAAAAAAUACUUUAAAGGAUGGGGUUCUCACCUUUUCGGCCAUGCCAAAAAAAGGAAAAAGUGGAUUAAAAAGGAGCUGGAAGAAAUAG